rnacentral:lncRNA from 1 species
CAGCCAUGCAAACAAGAAUGCAUUACUUCUCUACCUAAUAAUAUGAAUUAAUAUGGCCAUAACAUUGGGCAAAAAAAGCCAGACACAAAAGAGUAAACUACUGCGUGGUUCCCUUUAUUUGAAGUUCAAAAUCAGGAAAAACUAAUCUAUGGUGGCAAAUAUUAGAAUAAUGGUUACCUUUGGAGAAGAGUAUUAUCUAGGAGGAGGCAUGAAGGAGCCUGCUGGUGAAUUGAAAAUGCCCUACAUCUUGAUCUGGGUGGUGGUUAUGGUUACAUGGAGGUAAUACAUGUUUUUAAAAAAUCAUUAAGUUAUUAAGAUUUCUGCUUCUGAUGCAAGUUACACCUCAAUAAAAAGGGGAAAAAAAAACAGUGCCUAUGCCUACCUCCAGAAAAUGUUGAUUCAUUGGUCUGGAGUAGAGCACAGGCAGGGGUAAUUUUUUAACAUCUUCCAGAUGCUUCCAAUAUGCAGCCAGGGUCGAGAAUGACUCCCUUACAUGAUUGGACUCCCUUACAUGAUUGGACUCCCUUACAUGAUUGGACUCCCUUACAUGAUUGGACUCCCUUACAUGAUUAGACUUAACUGAGUUUUGGUCAAGCAGGGCAGUAGCUGUAAGCUUUGGAAGAGAAAGCCAGCAGUUAUCCGAGCGGUUCCCUCCCAUCUGUGAGACUCUUGCUCAUGUCAGCAGUAUUCCCUUGUCUUCCCCUCGGACAGGUGAUGGGCCUGAGACGGGUUUGAAAUAGGUCAGGAUAGAACCUUCAUGGACUCUAGUGUUCUAUUGCACAUUAAGCCUCAAAUUAACUUUUCAUUCUGGUUUCCAACCACUCUGUCCUUACAGGUCAUGAAAGGAACACCAAUGUUUUGCAAACUAUGGGCAGCAGUGUUUUUGAGGGUCAUGAUCAGUUUAGUGUAGCAAUUCUCUAUCUUUUCUUAAGAUCUUAGGACCCCUUUAUUCUUGUAAAGAGUGAGAGCCCCAAAGACCUUUUGUGUAUGUAGAUAUAUUUAAAAAUUAAAAUAGAAAAUUUUUAA